rnacentral:rRNA from 1 species
AGAGUUUGAUCCUGGCUCAGAGCGAACGCUGGCGGCAGGCCUAACACAUGCAAGUCGAACGGAUCCUUCGGGAUUAGUGGCGGACGGGUGAGUAACACGUGGGAACGUGCCCUUUGGUUCGGGACAACUCAGGGAAACUUGAGCUAAUACCGGAUGAGCCCUACGGGGGAAAGAUUUAUCGCCAUUGGAGCGGCCCGCGUCUGAUUAGCUAGUUGGUGAGGUAAAGGCUCACCAAGGCUACGAUCAGUAGCUGGUCUGAGAGGAUGAUCAGCCACACUGGGACUGAGACACGGUCCAGACUCCUACGGGAGGCAGCAGUGGGGAAUUUUGCGCAAUGGGGGAAACCCUGACGCAGCAACGCCGCGUGGAGGAUGAAGUCCUUCGGGACGUAAACUCCUUUCGAUCGGGACGAUAAUGACGGUACCGGAAGAAGAAG